CCUACGGGUGGCAGCAGUCGAGAAUCAUUCACAAUGGGGGAAACCCUGAUGGUGCGACGCCGCGUGGGGGAAUGAAUGUCUUCUGAUUUUAAACCCCUGUCAUGUGGGAGCAAAUUAAAAAGAUAGUACCACAAGAGGAAGAGACGGCUAACUCUGUACCAGCAGCCGCGGUAAUACAGCGGGCUCAAGCGUUGUUCGGAAUCACGGGGCGUAAAGCGUGCGUAGGCUGUGUCGUAAGUCGUGUGUGAAAGGCGCGGGCUCAACCCGCGAACGGCACAUGAUACUGCGAGACGAGGGUAAUGGAGGGGGAAGCGGAAUUCUGGGUGUAGCAGUGAAAUGCGGAGAUA
rnacentral:rRNA from 1 species